GGCUAGUCCGAAGGUGGUGAGUUACCUCAAUUAAUUGUAACAGUCAGUUACAGAUGAACUCCUUGUUCUACUCUUCCCCACUUCUCACUACUACACUUGACUAGUCUUAG
ensembl:misc_RNA Y_RNA Y RNA